GAUGUGGCUCUGGCUUCUCAGCUGCCGCCCCAAGGAAAGCCACAGAUGGAGCACGAGCAGAGGGAAAAACGAAGCCCCUGAAUGAGUGUCAGGAAAGCCCGCCAGGAGAAGGGGGGACCUUGCCCUGGGGGUGACCUGAAGGCUGCUCUCUCUGUCCAAGGGUCUCCCACAGUGACACAAAGUCAUCUGGCAUUUUUUGACUCUAGCCAAGGCUGGUCAGGGCGGAGAGUGUUUCAACCUGGCAGAAAAAGAAGCCCAUUUCUGGCUGGCCUUCACAGCUGAAGAGAAUCUCAGGAUUCAGGAUUUCUGAGGAGAAAGAGAGCCGCCCACAGACCACAGCAGGCCCUUCCCAAUCAGGACAGGCACAGAUUCCCCUAACGGACUACAGCAGGCCAAUCAGGACAGGCACAGAUAACUCUGUUGAUGUAAGAUUUUCAAAACUAGAAACUGGACUCCCAGUUGGGAGCAGAGAUGUCCAUCUAGAAGUAGGCACUCCGGAGACUGCCUGUGCCAUCUUGGGUUGCCAUUUUACCAUUUUGGAUCCUGGGAGACAACAGAUC